rnacentral:rRNA from 1 species
GUAGGUGUGUGUUCCAGGUAAAUCCGGUUCACUUUAACACUGAGGCGUGAUGACGAGGCACUACGGUGCUGAAGCAACAAAUGCCCUGCUUCCAGGAAAAGCCUCUAAGCAUCAGGUAACAUCAAAUCGUACCCCAAACCGACACAGGUGGUCAGGUAGAGAAUACCAAGGCGCUUGAGAGAACUCGGGUGAAGGAACUAGGCAAAAUGGUGCCGUAACUUCGGGAGAAGGCACGCUGACACGUAGGUGAAGUGAUUUACUCAUGGAGCUGAAGUCAGUCGAAGAUACCAGCUGGCUGCAACUGUUUAUUAAAAACACAGCACUGUGCAAACACGAAAGUGGACGUAUACGGUGUGACGCCUGCCCGGUGCCGGAAGGUUAAUUGAUGGGGUCAGCGCAAGCGAAGCUCCUGAUCGAAGCCCCGGUAAACGGCGGCCGUAACUAUAACGGUCCUAAGGUAGCGAAAUUCCUUGUCGGGUAAGUUCCGACCUGCACGAAUGGCGUAAUGAUGGCCAGGCUGUCUCCACCCGAGACUCAGUGAAAUUGAACUCGCUGUGAAGAUGCAGUGUACCCGCGGCAAGACGGAAAGACCCCGUGAACCUUUACUAUAGCUUGACACUGAACAUUGAGCCUUGAUGUGUAGGAUAGGUGGGAGGCUUUGAAGUGUGGACGCCAGUCUGCAUGGAGCCGGCCUUGAAAUACCACCCUUUAAUGUUUGAUGUUCUAACGUGGACCCGUGAUCCGGGUUGCGGACAGUGUCUGGUGGGUAGUUUGACUGGGGCGGUCUCCUCCUAAAGAGUAACGGAGGAGCACGAAGGUUGGCUAAUCCUGGUCGGACAUCAGGAGGUUAGUGCAAUGGCAUAAGCCAGCUUGACUGCGAGCGUGACGGCGCGAGCAGGUGCGAAAGCAGGUCAUAGUGAUCCGGUGGUUCUGAAUGGAAGGGCCAUCGCUCAACGGAUAAAAGGUACUCCGGGGAUAACAGGCUGAUACCGCCCAAGAGUUCAUAUCGACGGCGGUGUUUGGCACCUCGAUGUCGGCUCAUCACAUCCUGGGGCUGAAGUAGGUCCCAAGGGUAUGGCUGUUCGCCAUUUAAAGUGGUACGCGAGCUGGGUUUAGAACGUCGUGAGACAGUUCGGUCCCUAUCUGCCGUGGGCGCUGGAGAACUGAGGGGGGCUGCUCCUAGUACGAGAGGACCGGAGUGGACGCAUCACUGGUGUUCGGGUUGUCAUGCCAAUGGCACUGCCCGGUAGCUAAAUGCGGAAGAGAUAAGUGCUGAAAGCAUCUAAGCACGAAACUUGCCCCGAGAUGAGUUCUCCCUGAGACUUUAGGUCUCCUGAAGGAACGUUGAAGACGACGACGUUGAUAGGCCGGGUGUGUAAGCGCAGCGAUGCGUUGAGCUAACCGGUACUAAUGAACCGUGAGGCUUAACCUUACA